CCUUCGAUAGCUCAGUUGGUAGAGCGGAGGACUGUAGGUUCUUUAAAUUAAGGUAUCCUUAGGUCGCUGGUUCGAAUCCGGCUCGAAGGA
rfam:Macaca mulatta chromosome 4, whole genome shotgun sequence.